CACGACUCACAGGUUGUCUGCAUCAACACAUCAACUUCCAAAGAAAGUCUGUGAUUGGCUUUGUGGAGCUGACCAUCUUCCCAACUGUGGUCAACCUGAACCGGAUCAAACUCAACAGCAAGCAGUGCAGGAUCUACAGGGUCAGAGUCAACGACCUAGAAGCACCAUUCAUUUACAAUGACCCUACUCUAGAGGUCUGCCCACACGAGUCCAAGCAGAGGAACCUGAACUAUUUCUCCAGUGCCUACACAGCAGCAGUCAGCGCCGUGGACCCAGAUGCUGGACACGGCGAGCUGGUCAUCAGGUCCCUCGGAGCUGUGGAAGCAG